AUUCCAGCUAACUCAGGUAGUGAGUUGGAAGAAAAGGAGAAGGGAAGAAAUAAGUAAGGAUGCCGUGAAGUCCAAAGGAGCAUUUUGCUAAACAGUAAGAGUGGUGAUAUGAACGUCAUCGAUGGAUUGGGAGGGGUAAAAAGAAGUGAACACGCUAGCCUGUAAAUAUGGGAGAUCACUAAAGGGACGGAAGUUUAAGCUCUUAAAUCUUACUACUGGAAGGAAUCCUGAUUAAAAUUAAAUUAUGCUAAGUGAGUGUAUACAAAAUUCAAGGAUGAUUCACAAAAUAGAAAUAUAAUCUAUUACUCUCGUGAAACACAAAGCUUCAUCUCAUACUAGUCAAACAAGGCUCAACAAAUCCCGCCCAAAGAGUUGGGAGCAUGGCUCCUUGUAAUUGUUAACAAAAGUUAAAAAGCAUAUUUCAAAUUAGCAUAGGCAUCAGAAAAGAAACUACGGCGGGUAUCAGAAAGUAUAUAAAAGGAAACGAGGGUACUGCUGUAUAUCAAAGCCUUUAGCAUGUGACCCUUUAGCAUGUGACCCUUUGAGGACAUUUUCAGGAGGAUGAAAGAGUAGUUUCCAGACAGGGAGCAAAGCUGUAAAAUAUUUAAUAGGAAAAUAUCAGGAACUAUGUAGAAAUGCUUUUUUUGGGGGGGAAAUGCCUCUUGUAACCUGCCUUUACAAACUGAACUUUUACCUGACCUUGUAACCAAGUUAAUUAUAUGCUUUGAGAUCAUGUAAAACAAUGUAUUCAUCUGUUCACACAAUGUGUGCUCAGCUUGUUUAAAUUUAACUUGCCUUUAAGAAAACAAUGUAAUCAAUCUUACUAUGCCUUAAAUUCCCCAUGUAGGCAGCUUUUUACAAGCUAAGAGGAAUUACAGUUCUGGUGUUAAAUAGCUUUCCUGUUUCUCCCUCGUGGCCGGCCAUGACCCUAAUCCAGACUAGUGAUGCCUAUCUUCCAGGCCCUGACUCCUGCACUCCACCCUUUGGUAUGAGGAAGGCACAAGGCCAUCGGGAG
rnacentral:lncRNA from 1 species